UACGUAGGUGGCGAUCGUUGUCCGGAUUUACUGGGCGUAAAGGGAGCGUAGGCGGACUUUUAAGUGAGAUGUGAAAUACCCGGGCUCAACUUGGGUGCUGCAAUUUCAAACUGGAAGUCUAGAGUGCAGGAGAGGAGAAUGGAAUUCCUAGUGUAGCGGUGAAAUGCGUAGAGAUUAGGAAGAACACCAGUGGCGAAGGCGAUUCUCUGGACCGUAACUGACGCUGAGGCUCGAAAGCGUGGGGAGCAAACAGGAUUAGAUACCCUGGUA
rnacentral:rRNA from 1 species